AUUUGGUGAUAGCCUGGUAAGAAAGAAUUUCUCUGUUCCUUGAUCAACAGUGUAUAGAAGUGCUGUAGAGGAUGCAGCCGUGCCAUGGUUGAUGGCAGCAUGAGAGCAAAAAUGUGCUGGUGUGCGGGGGCACUGCAGUUCAAAUACAAUGAAGAGGGAAAGGACUACUGGCAGAGAAUCAUAAUUGAGACCCCAGUCCUCUAGGGGCCUGCCAGAUGCCUGCCUUUGUUUUCAGUGAUCUAUUCAGACAGUAUGAAGUGAAGAGCAUGCGAAAAUCCCAGGGGUUUGAGUCAGGCGAGCCUUCUGAAAGGACCCGAAGUGAUGUAUUAUGCCUUUUUCUGUCUGGAAAAGGAUAGCAGGUCUACUCUCCUUGCCCUCAAGGUAGGACAAAACUCAAUGGGAGCAUACAGAGAUAAAAAAGGAAAAAGAAAUGCUGGCCCAGAAGCAGAGCCAAGUGAGGGUCUUGGCGUAGAAAAUGGCCUCAUACCACUGCCAGAAGGAGGGAAUGCUGGAAAGAAGAUCCCUGGCACGGGUCUGCCUUCACUUUGCGCCAUGUAAGCAGCCCAAUGUGAGACUGAAGAUGAACAGACCUUGUCUCAUACUGUUUGGACAUCACGGUCAUGUAGAAAGCCUCUGCUUUAAUUUUGUCUAUGCCAAUGAAAUGAAAUGUGCUAACUUGUAUUCUCAAGUAUCAAGCCAUUUUGCAGAACUCGAAAAUAAACUUAAGUAUUAUUUAUACCCACUGUAUCUGUGUAAACAAGAUUCAAAUAUAUGUUCUCUUCUUCACAGAUAUAGACAAAAAAUUUAGUGCUGCUUUUUGAUGACAAUAAAAAUUAUUUGCCUCUCCAACUAUAAACUUUGGAGGAAUGCAGUUUUUCCAGUAUCGCCUGAUUUUCAUUGUGCUGUUGCAGCUUAGAAACUACUUUUCCUGAGAUGCUUCUUUUACUAAAACCUGUGAGUUCAUAAUAAGGCAAAUGUAUAUAUGUGUACAUACAUAUAUAUAUAGUCCUAAUAAAUGCACUAAAUAUUUAUUUUCAAUUAAUUAUCUGUCAGAGUGGGAAAAGUUUUGUAAUUUGUCUCUAUUUGUGCCUAAGCCCUUGGAUUUGUCUGUAUUUGGGGAAGAGAUCAUUAAUGGUUGUUCAGAGCACAGAGCAGCCCUUUUGCUUUGUUGUAUUGUUUCUGAAUGCUCUGCUUGCUACAAGUGAAAACAGAAAAA